rnacentral:rRNA from 1 species
AUGAAGAAAUGUCGGUCGUUAUACUUCAGGGUGACACAACGCAAGACGCCCAACCGAAUGACCGGGCACGGUCGUACACCCGCUCGUAUGAGCUCGAGACUUCACCAAAAAUUACCUUUCCAAAUGGGAUUCUUCAUGAACUUCGUCUCAUUUGUUCCUACGACUUCCUUGUUCUUCAAGGGAUGUUUUAGGAGAGGAUUAGGCUCACCUAGAGCCGUUGGAUCAAAGGAGCGAUGCUACAUCAAGGGAGGAGGCUAUGGGAGAGCUCUUAUAUAUACACCACCAACCCUAGCCGCCGCCAUCAUUCGUCCUUCAUCAUCUCAUCUCCAUGUCCAGCCACCGCCAUCAUCAAGAACACACACAAUUGUUGCAACCUUGGAGGAAGACCGAAGGGAGCCACCGCCGGUGGGGCGUGGUCAUGGGCCGCCACCGCCGCACCACCAUCAUCCACCGCAUCGCCAUCAUCACCACCAUGAUCAUCCCUUCUUUCUCCUCCAUCAUGGUCUCCGUGAUGGGUUGUAA